AAUCCAUAGGUUAAUGAGGCGAACCGGGGGAACUGAAACAUCUAAGUACCCCGAGGAAAAGAAAUCAACCGAGAUUCCCCCAGUAGCGGCGAGCGAACGGGGAGGAGCCCAGAGCCUGAAUCAGCAUGUGUGUUAGUGGAAGCGUCUGGAAAGGCGCGCGAUACAGGGUGACAGCCCCGUACACAAAAGCGCAUGUGCUGUGAGCUCGAUGAGUAGGGCGGGACACGUGGUAUCCUGUCUGAAUAUGGGGGGACCAUCCUCCAAGGCUAAAUACUCCUGACUGACCGAUAGUGAACCAGUACCGUGAGGGAAAGGCGAAAAGAACCCCGGCGAGGGGAGUGAAAAAGAACCUGAAACCGUGUACGUACAAGCAGUGGGAGCACAGGUUUACCUGUGUGACUGCGUACCUUUUGUAUAAUG
rnacentral:rRNA from 4 species